rnacentral:tRNA from 1 species
GGGCCGGAUAGCUGAGAGCUCGGCAAAGCAGCCGCGCCGUAGUGGUAGCUGCGGCAAAUGAAGCGGUGGUUCGAGGGUUCGACUCCCUCCCGGUCCA